GUUUAUUUUGCCAAAUUAUUUGUUACAUUUCCUGAUACAUAGUGAUAAUUUUGGAGUAAAUGCUUUUUCUAAAAGGUAACCAUUAUUCAUGAACACUGUAUCACUCAACUAAAGGGCAUACAGUGGGUAAGUAUAUUUAAUUUCCUUAUACUGAGCAUUCAAAGUUUUCCCUUACACAGAACCUGUGGGAAAGAGUAAGCACACACUUGGAAACUCUUUCUGCUUACAGAUGUGUAAAGAAACCACUUUUUAGAGUAGAGUUUCACUUAAGCACAGUUAGAGAGAAUCUCAACCAGAUGUGUUAAAAGUCACUUUAAUCUUCCAAGAUGUGGGUAUUUCAGAUUUCCCCACGCCCAUGUAUGUAUUUCAGUAACAGUAGCCUGAAAAUCAUCUAGUCAUAAAAGAAUGUUACUUGGUACUAUUCAGUUUGGAGGGGAAGAAUGUUUUCUUUGGGAGAACAAUAAAAAAAGAAAAUGAUCAGAAAAAAAUAAUAGGAAAGUGGGUAUCCUGGGUUGUCUGCUGUAGAGUCUAGGAGGAAUCUGUUCAAUUAAGGUAACACCCCUGGGAGAGGUAUCCAGAAGUAGAAGUGAAAUCAUCAAAGUGAUCUGAGAAAUACAGAAAAAUGUAUAGGAUGGUUUUGGAAGCCAUAAAGAACUGAAUCCCUGCUGUGAAAACAGCAGUGAAGAGUCUAGAUUUUAUUCAGCUCUGCUGUCUUGAAGAUGGGUUAGACCAGUGGACUGAUGAAUACUGUGUUGUUUUGUUUGUUUGUUUUUGUUUUUUGAGUUGAGUCAUAAGUUAACAUGACUUACAGUUCCUCCCAUUAAAGGGAAUUGUGAGGUAGUUUUUAAGUGCAUUAACAAAGCUGUGCAACCACUGCCCACAAAGCAAUACAGGGUGUUGAAUGUUUAGCUUUUAGAUGACAUAUAUUUCACAUGCUGUUCAGUUUACCCUUCAAAGUGUAAGAUUCAGAGGGUUUUCGUACAUUGCAAAAGUUGUGUAACCACCACCAAUCUAGAACAAAGAAAUUAGGUUAUUUAGUAGAAAGGAUCAUAUAUUCUGCUUGUUCUUGAGUUUUAGUAAACAGUUGGAGGAUGAGUGAAAAUAGUUUUUAAUGGAUAGGUUGUUUGUACUGCAAAGUGUUCUGUUGCAUAACUACCACUGGUAAAUUAAUAGGAGAAAUCUGAUCAUUUUAGUAAUUUCAGUUCCAUCCUUGUUUCUCUAGAGAAUAUAAAAAAAGGAAUUUUUACAUUUCUGCAGUAAGUGGAAGCCCGGAACUGAAAUUGUCUGUCACCUGAUUUCCUCCUUCUCAGGAUCACGGAUGGCGUUGCCCGGGAAGUGGAGAGCCCGAAGCCCAAAGAAGCACUUGAAGCAUUGGACGCGCUACAAACCAAUGACUCUCUUUACACCUUGUCCAUCUGUGGGAUCCUGCAACCAAAAGAGUGCUCCCCCUCAUAAUCUUUCCCCAAAACAGAUUCAAGUAUGCAUUCAUUGGAGAUGAAGUAAACAUAGUAAACAUAGACUUAAGCAUUCUCAAUUCGAUUUCCACAGACACAUUGGGUCUUCCUGGGAGGGGUGAGCAGAAGAGGGGAAGAUAGUUUACAUCUCUAUGAGGUGAGCUCAGAGAGGUGGUAGAAUUCCAGAGUUAUGUCCUAGCAGUUUGUGCACCUUUUCUAACUAUAGCAAUGGGUUGAAUACUUUUUAACGGGUUGUGAAAGCCUGGGAGUAUUUGGAAGGUGGGGAUUCUUGCUUUAUCAGGGGUGUUCAGGCCAAAGGGGUGUUGAGGUCUGGACCAGGACUUCUGCAGCAUCCAGUCACUUAUUUAGUAAAGAUCCUUCCAUUUUUCCUUUGUCCUUCUUGUUAUUGUUACAUUCUAGCUCUUUCCUUCUCAAAAUCGCAAACCCAGAGGCAGGGCUAAUGAUGAGCAAGGACACAGAGUAAGUAAAUGGAAAAUGGGUUACGCUAUUGUAUGGGAAAUCUAGCAUGCCUUGGUUGCUUACAUGUGUGAUGGUUGAGCAUUCAUUGUGUGUGUGUGUGUGUGUGUGUGUGUGUGUGUGUGUGUGUGUCUGUGUGUGAGUGUGUGAGCGUGGGGAGGGGUGAAGGAAGGAAGAGGAUGCACACACCUGAGUGGUUGCAUCUAUCUUCUCCUUGGAAUCUUGACUGCAUUAACUCAAAGAGGUCCCUAAUGGCCAUUGUACAAGAACAUAGGAGCCAUAAGUAUAGUCACUUCCACUUAUAGCACGUACUAGGACAGGUCCAGGUGUUGGUUGUUUUCAUUCAAGCACAUCCAUCGAGUAUUGAGGAUUUCCAGCCUAGUAAAAUACUAUUGUGUUCAGUGCAGCAUAGUGUUUUUGCUGCCUAGGCAAAAGCAUCUUUGCUUUAGUGAUGUACCAUCAUACCUGUUUCUGAUCAGACAUCAUCAGCAUCAGGAAGACAGGAGAGCAUUUCUGCUCAGUGUAUGACCCCAAGGGCUGUUUUGCUGUUUCACUGUGUCUCACACACACAGCAGAACAGGAAAAAGUGAAUAAUGGGAGUCAAGACACAUGGACUUGGCUGUCCACUUGGGAAUUUGGACCAAAUUACAGGGAUAUUUGUCUGGGACCUAGUGGUCCUAGGGUCAGAUUUCCUUGUUCUGCUUUGUGGUUGGUUUAUUCGGGCAUAUACAGUCCACCAAAACUUCUAUAAGAGUGAAUUUCCACAUAAGGAUAUUUCUGAAUUGAACGGUAAUUCAUUAGUGUACUCUUUUACAAACAGGAUGUUGUUUCCUUAUAGAAGAAUCAUGAAGAUCUAAGUAAAAGUCCUGAGUGCAGCGUUCAUUAAUUAUAUGACUUUGGCAAAAGGGUGUAACUUCUCUUGAGCCUCCCGUUUUCUUGGUAAAUGGUAAUAAUACACUUUCUCAUCAGGGCACUCUAAAGAUUCAGUGAGUGUCUUAGUAACAGUGCUACCUGGCAUUUUCUUGAUACAGAAUAGACAUCCUGCCUCCUGCCCUCCCCACACUUGACAGCAUUUUGAGGAAACUUUCAAGGGAUUUCCCCUUUUGUAAAGAGAAUUCCAAUCUUUCUUCUGGUUAGGGAAUACCAUGUUGGAAAGCAGGAUCACCCCUGAAGUAUCCAUUCCUCUUUUCCCCGUAGUUAAGAUCCAGAGGUAUUCCUCAGGUAUUCCUGUUUCACACAUAACCCAGUCACCUUUAUAGUAUGUACACCAAAUGCCGUCUAAACAUGAUCUGCAUUCUGUAGGUGACUAUCAGUAUAUUCAGUCAGAAAUUGUUUUCACUUUAUGUGUUUUACUGAUUUGUUUUUCAUUUUUCUCAAAGUUUAUUUCUUUGGGAGAGAACAUAUUAGUAUGUCUAUAGGCAGACCAAGCAUUUUCUCAUUCAGGUAAUGCCUUGCUUUGUUGGUUUCUCCCUCUCCCCCAUCUCCAGACCUUUCUCACUGCUUUGGUAAACCACUUCAAUCAAGAUCCAUUCUCCUUUUGUGGAUGGCUCCAGUAAGGAGCUACUUUCUUUUACCUGUGAGAACUAGGAUUAGAAUCCUGUAAGGUGUUGAGUUGUCCAGCUUGAUGGGUCUGUUGUGUCAACUCUGGUCACUGCUCUUCUGGUUUUAUAAAGAAGUCACAUCUUAAGAGACCACACAGAUUAGUAGUCACUGUGAAUUUUUCAAAGGGCAGGGAUGGAGACAGAGAAGGAGAUAUCUGGCGUAUUAUGUUUACCCACUGGUCCAACCACACUGAUCAGCCACCACAUAAAAGCCUGUGUCCUGAAAGAUAUUAAGAAGUAGCAGAAGUUUGAAGUACUUACUUUGGAUUUGAGAGCUUGACCUUCUGCCAUACGCUGAGACAUUUGAGGAAGUGAUGUUUGAGCUUGUUUGCUGGUUGAUUCUGUGGGCAGACAAUUACGGAACUUUCUGUAUCACUGUCCUAUGUAGCUUGGCUCAAGCCAAGGGUUCAAGGGCACAAGACUGUAGAGUGGACCACUGCAGGGUCCCAGGACCUUGACGAUGGCUGAGACCCACUAGGGACCUUUAUCACUCCAGCGUGAUAUACCUUAGUGGAGAGACGGAACAGUCAAACACCACCAAACCAAACUAAAGCACAACAACUACAAAAAUCAGGAAUGGGAUGAUUUGGGGUCUUGUGAGGAAAAUGGAUCCUGAUAGUUGUAAGACAUCCUUUCCCCCUUGAACCUAAUGGGAGAACAGGAGGUGGAAGUCUGGAUCCAAGUAAGGAAUCUGUGAAUGCUUUAAGCACUGAGAUGCAUUGUGGAGCUUUGGUUAACGGUUCCAGAGCAGACCUUCUCACAGGAUGGGGGAAGUCACUUAGAGCUAGAGGCGCCAAGGAGCGCCUGGGUGGCACAGUUGGUUAAGUGUCUAACAUUGACUGAGGUCAUGAUCUCAUGAUUCAUGCGUUCUAGCCUUGCAUGAGGCUCUGUGCUGACAGCUCAGAGCCUGGAGCCUGCUUCAGAUUCUGUGUCUCCCUCUCUGUAUCUGCCCGUCCCCUGCUUGCACUCUGUGUGUAUGUUGUGUGUCUCCCUCUCUC